CUACACUGUUUAUAUAACCAACCAAACCCAUCCCCCAUCCCUACCCGACAUCCCCACACAGUUUAUACAACCCACCCCAACCCCAACCCCAACCUUUCCGCCUCCCCAAUAAAAAAAAAAAAGAAUAAAAUGGUUACUUAGAGAAGAAACUUUGUGUUCUCUAUAAAAUUUCUCAGCCUAAUUACGAUUUGAUAGAGAACAGGUCUUGAAUCAAGAUUCAAAUCCAAAUUAGAUCCAUGGAAUCCUGUGGUCUUUGAUGGUACAAACCUUUCUCUCAAAAGGACUUAAUUAGCUCAAUAGUGCUAAGUAAUUACCAAAUUCAUGUAGCAACGAUUACUUGAGGAAUUUACUAUAUUUCUAAUGAUCUUCAUAAACAUUUUUCUGAAAAGAUUGGCAGGGCCACAAGACCAAGGAGUCAGAGGUCUAGCUCAACAUUACUAAGUAGUUACCAAACACCAGGUGCAACCCGUCGGAGGUCCAUUUCAGACCACCAAAAAAUAUUUUUCUGAUCUUUCAAGUGUUGUGAAUCCUCCAUCCCUCUAAUUUUUCCUCCGGCGAAGUUGAAAUUUUGACCGCCGCCGAUCCUCCGUCGUUCUCCGAGACAUUGUCGGCAGUGAAAACUAAAACAAAGGUCAGCAAAGUAGAAGUUUGCAUCAAUGGUGGAACAGCUGUUUAUCAAGUUCAUCGAUGUUAUAGUUAUGGAGCUUUAUCGAAACAAUAGUCUUGUGAGGUUGAUCCUCUGUGAUGGUUUCGUCAGAGCCCGUCGAAGAUGGAAGCUCGUGGAUUACUAGUUAACGGAAUCUGAUGGAGUGAGAUUUCUCUGGUGGGUGAGUAAGCUGAAAGAAGAAUGGUGAGGUUAAUUAUUUGGUCUGAAGAAUAUGCGAAGAAGAAGAAGUGAAGAAAAAGAUGCAGAGAGGAAGAGAAAGCUAUAUUUUUGGUAAACCAAAUGGCGUCUACUUUUCUGGUAAAAUAAAUGACCAAGUAGUUACUUGGUGUAAUUAUCCCUUAUGCAAACGCAUAUUAUAUGCAACAUUUAUUCAGUUUUUAUAAACAUCAUAUACGAAAA